UAGGGAAUCUUCGGCAAUGGGGGGAACCCUGACCGAGCAACGCCGCGUGAGUGAAGAAGGUUUUCGGAUCGUAAAGCUCUGUUGUUAAGGAAGAACGAGUGUGAGAAUGGAAAGUUCAUACUGUGACGGUACUUAACCAGAAAGGGACGGCUAACUACGUGCCAGCAGCCGCGGUAAUACGUAGGUCCCGAGCGUUGUCCGGAUUUAUUGGGCGUAAAGCGAGCGCAGGCGGUUAGAAAAGUCUGAAGUGAAAGGCAGUGGCUCAACCAUUGUAGGCUUUGGAAACUGUUUAACUUGAGUGCAGAAGGGGAGGGUGGAAUUCCAUGUGUAGCGGUGAAAUGCGUAGAUAUAUGGAGGAACACCGGUGGCGAAAGCGGCUCGCUGGUCUGUAGCUGACGCUGAGGUUCGAAAGCGUGGGGAGCGAACAGG
rnacentral:rRNA from 1 species